GUCUCCGGACAUAUCAGCCUGAAGCCGCUAGAUCUUGUCUCCUCUCAGAAGUUAAGCAGGGUCGGGCCUGGUUAGUAUCUUGGAUGGGAGACCACCUGGGAAUCCCGGGUGCUCGAGGCU
ensembl:rRNA 5S_rRNA 5S ribosomal RNA